AGAUGCUUUGGGACUACAACUCCCAUCAUCCCUGACCACUGGUCCUGUUAGCUAGGGAUGAUGGGAGUUGUAGUCCCAAAACAUCU